rnacentral:rRNA from 1 species
GUCGAACGAAGCAAUAGGAAGGAAGUUUUCGGAUGGAAUUCAUAUUGACUGAGUGGCGGACGGGUGAGUAACGCGUGGGUAACCUGCCUCAUACAGGGGGAUAAUAGUUAGAAAUGACUGCUAAUACCGCAUAAGCGCACAGAAUCGCAUGAUUCGGUGUGAAAAACUCCGGUGGUAUGAGAUGGACCCGCGUCUGAUUAGCUAGUUGGUGGGGUAAAGGCCUACCAAGGCGACGAUCAGUAGCCGACCUGAGAGGGUGAUCGGCCACAUUGGGACUGAGACACGGCCCAAACUCCUACGGGAGGCAGCAGUGGGGAAUAUUGCACAAUGGGGGAAACCCUGAUGCAGCAACGCCGCGUGAGUGAAGAAGUAUUUCGAUAUGUAAAGCUCUAUCAGCAGGGAAGAAGAUGACGGUACCUGAGUAAGAAGCCCCGGCUAACUACGUGCCAGCAGCCGCGGUAAUACGUAGGGGGCAAGCGUUAUCCGGAUUUACUGGGUGUAAAGGGAGCGUAGACGGCAUAGCAAGUCUGAAGUGAAAGCCCAAGGCUCAACCAUGGGACUGCUUUGGAAACUGUUAAGCUAGAGUGCUGGAGAGGUAAGCGGAAUUCCUAGUGUAGCGGUGAAAUGCGUAGAUAUUAGGAAGAACACCAGUGGCGAAGGCGGCUUACUGGACAGUAACUGACGUUGAGGCUCGAAAGCGUGGGGAGCAAACAGGAUUAGAUACCCUGGUAGUCCACGCUG